GACGAACGCUGGCGGCGUGCUUAACACAUGCAAGUCGAACGAAGAGCGAUGGACGCUUGCUUCUAUCAAUCUUAGUGGCGAACGGGUGAGUAACGCGUAAUCAACCUGCCCUUCAGAGGGGGACAACAGUUGGAAACGACUGCUAAUACCGCAUACGAUCCAAUCUCGGCAUCGAGGAUGGAUGAAAGGUGGCCUCUAUUUAUAAGCUAUCACUGAAGGAGGGGAUUGCGUCUGAUUAGCUAGUUGGAGGGGUAACGGCCCACCAAGGCGAUGAUCAGUAGCCGGUCUGAGAGGAUGAACGGCCACAUUGGGACUGAGACACGGCCCAGACUCCUACGGGAGGCAGCAGUGGGGAAUCUUCCGCAAUGGACGAAAGUCUGACGGAGCAACGCCGCGUGAGUGAUGACGGCCUUCGGGUUGUAAAGCUCUGUUAAUCGGGACGAAAGGUCCUCUUGCGAAUAGUUAGAGGAAUUGACGGUACCGGAAUAGAAAGCCACGGCUAACUACGUG
rnacentral:rRNA from 1 species